rnacentral:rRNA from 1 species
CCCUUAGAUGUUCUGGGCAGCACGCGCGCUACAAUGGUCUUCGCAAACGGAUGCAUUCUCGAAGGAGAGUGCCAAUCUUGGAAUCUAUGCCUUGGUCGGGACAGUUGCUUGCAAUUUUUCGACUCGAACCAGGAAUUCCUUGUAAUCGUGAUUCAUCACAUCACGAUGAAUACGUCCCUGCCCUUUGUACACACCGCCCGUCGCUCCUACCGAUUGAAUGUUCCGAUGAAUACCAUGGACUGAGAGUAUGAAUGGGUUCGCCUAUUUCUGCUUCUCGGGAAGUGGAGUAAAUCUUAACAUUUAGAGGAAGGAGAAGUCGUAACA